UACGUAGGGCGCAAGCGUUAUCCGGAAUUAUUGGGCGUAAAGCGCGCGCAGGCGGUCCUUUAAGUCUGAUGUGAAAGCCCACGGCUCAACCGUGGAGGGUCAUUGGAAACUGGGGGACUUGAGUACAGAAGAGAAGAGUGGAAUUCCACGUGUAGCGGUGAAAUGCGUAGAGAUGUGGAGGAACACCAGUGGCGAAGGCGACUCUUUGGUCUGUAACUGACGCUGAGGCGCGAAAGCGUGGGGAGCAAACAGG
rnacentral:rRNA from 1 species